rnacentral:misc_RNA from 1 species
UCUCCGUUGGUGAACCAGCGGAGGGAUCAUUACCGAGUUAUCAACUCCCAAACCCCUGUGAACAUACCACAACGUUGCCUCGGCGGGACCGCCCCGGCGCCCCUAGCGGCCCGGAACCAGGCGCCCGCCGGAGGACCCAAACUCUUGCUUUGAACAGUGGCAUACUCUCUGAGUCUCAAAAACAAAAAUAAAUUAAGACUUUCAACAACGGAUCUCUUGGCUCUG